rnacentral:rRNA from 1 species
UACGUAGGGUGCAAGCGUUAAUCGGAAUUACUGGGCGUAAAGCGUGCGCAGGCGGUUGUGCAAGACAGAUGUGAAAUCCCCGGGCUCAACCUGGGAACUGCAUUUGUGACUGCACAGCUUGAGUGCGGCAGAGGGGGAUGGAAUUCCGCGUGUAGCAGUGAAAUGCGUAGAUAUGCGGAGGAACACCGAUGGCGAAGGCAAUCCCCUGGGCCUGCACUGACGCUCAUGCACGAAAGCGUGGGGAGCAAACCGG